UACGUAGGGUGCAAGCGUUAAUCGGAAUUACUGGGCGUAAAGCGUGCGCAGGCGGUUAUGUAAGACAGGUGGGAAAUCCCCGGGCUCAACCUGGGAACUGCAUCUGUGACUGCAUAGCUAGAGUACGGUAGAGGGGGAUGGAAUUCCGCGUGUAGCAGUGAAAUGCGUAGAUAUGCGGAGGAACACCGAUGGCGAAGGCAAUCCCCUGGACCUGUACUGACGCUCAUGCACGAAAGCGUGGGGAGCAAACAGG
rnacentral:rRNA from 1 species